rnacentral:rRNA from 1 species
AUUGAACGCUGGCGGCAUGCCUUACACAUGCAAGUCGAACGGUAACGGGCCUUCGGGUGCCGACGAGUGGCGAACGGGUGAGUAAUGUAUCGGAACGUACCUUUCAGUGGGGGAUAACGUAGCGAAAGUUACGCUAAUACCGCAUAUUCUGUGAGCAGGAAAGCAGGGGAUCGCAAGACCUUGCGCUGAUUGAGCGGCCGAUAUCAGAUUAGCUAGUUGGUGAGGUAAAGGCUCACCAAGGCGACGAUCUGUAGCGGGUCUGAGAGGAUGAUCCGCCAAACUGGAACUGAGACACGGUCCAGACUCCUACGGGAGGCAGCAGUGGGGAAUUUUGGACAAUGGGGGCAACCCUGAUCCAGCCAUGCCGGGUGAGUGAAGAAGGCCUUCGGGUUGUAAAGCUCUUUCGGCCGGGACGAAGCGCCCGUGAGGGUGGUGACGGUACCCGCAGAAGAAGCACCGGCCAACUACGUGCCAGCCGCCGCCGUAACAC